rnacentral:misc_RNA from 1 species
UUUCCGUAGGUGAACCUGCGGAAGGAUCAUUAUUGUAUAGCCGAGGUGCGAGGGCUGUCGCUGACCCGAAAGGUCGUGCACGCCCGAGUGCCCUCACACACAUCCAUCUCACCCCUAUAUGCACCACCGCGUGGGUCCCCCUUUGGCUUGUUCGGAGGGGGGCUUACGUUUUCACACAAACUUUGUAUGCAGUGUAGAAUGUAUUUUUUGUUUUUGCGAUCACGCAAUCAAUACAACUUUCAACAACGGAUCUCUUGGCUCUC